AGCAUUAAGGUGGGUGGAAUAAUAUAACAAUAUCCCCUAUGUUGUUAUAGUAUUCCACCUACCCUGAUGUC
rfam:Oryzias latipes DNA, chromosome10, strain: Hd-rR.